AUUGAACGCUGGCGGCAGGCUUAACACAUGCAAGUCGAGCGGGGGAAGGUAGCUUGCUACCGGACCUAGCGGCGGACGGGUGAGUAAUGCUUAGGAAUCUGCCUAUUAGUGGGGGACAACAUCUCGAAAGGGAUGCUAAUACCGCAUACGUCCUACGGGAGAAAGCAGGGGAUCUUCGGACCUUGCGCUAAUAGAUGAGCCUAAGUCGGAUUAGCUAGUUGGUGGGGUAAAGGCCGACCAAGGCGACGAUCUGUAGCGGGUCUGAGAGGAUGAGCCGCCACACGGGGACUGAGACACGGCCCAGACUCCUGCGGGAGGUAGCAGUGGGGAAUAUUGGACAAUGGGGGGAACCCUGAUCCAGCCAUGCCGCGUGUGUGAAGAGGGCCUUAUGGUUGUAAAGCACUUUAAGCGAGGAGGAGGCUCUUUUGGUUAAUACCCAAGAUGAGUGGACGUUACUCGCAGAAUAAGCACCGGCUAACUCUGUGCCAGCCGCCGCCGUAA
rnacentral:rRNA from 1 species